rnacentral:rRNA from 1 species
AGCUCCAGUAGCGUAUAUUAAAGUUGUUGCACUUAAAAAGCUCGUAGUUGGUGAUUCGCUGUCUGCUGGUUUGCGCUUUGGCGCAUAUUUGGUGGAGGUCGAUAGAUGGGCGACGCUGCUCAAAGACACUGUGAAUAAAUCAGAGUGAUCCAGACAAGCUUGGCUUGAACGUCUCAGCAUGGUAUGGGUUCUCGGCUACGCUGUCUUUCCAGUGCGGAAAGGAUGGUGGAGUAAAGGUUAAUAGAGACAGACGAUGAAAUUCGUAUUGAGUUGCCAGAGGUGAAAUUCUUAGACCAACUCAAGACGCCCCGAAGCGAAAGCGCUUUUCACGUAUGCUCUUU